GGGCCGGGCGCGGGCUUGCGGUCAGUGCAUGCGUGCCCGCCGCUGGGGCGCGGCGCCUCGUGUUCGGGUGCCGAGGCGGCUGUCUGCAGCAGGUCGGCCUCGGCGCUGCGGCCGCCAUCACAGUCGAGGCCGCUUCCGGGGCCCGGCGCCGCUGCUGCCGGAGACAAAGCCGCGGCUCUCGGCGCCCCGCCGCCAGAACGACCAAAAGAGCUCGCUGGUCCCGAGACAAGGUUUUGGGGACAAGCUUGCAUUUUUGAACACUUCGACUUUUUCUUACCAUGUUUGCUUCCUUUUAAGUAUUAUUACAGUCUACAAGUUACAUAUUCCGGGAAUAGUUUGAAAAUACUUUUGAAUUAUGUUCCUCCCGUGGGAAGGGAUUAUUAAAUUUGGACCAUCUAAACACAUUGUCUUCAUCAAUCCCGAUAAACUCAGUGGGCUCUUUCUAACGUAACUCCAGACAAAAAUAAAGAGAAUCAUAAAACCCUUCGAAGAAAACUCCCGGUCCGUGGAGAGUCCCCAGAUGCCAAUUUAGAACAUGUAGAUCGCCUUUUAGAUAACACUUGAAGUUUUGCCUAGUUUAGAUCUAGACUUGGAAUUCGUAGCUGUUUGUGAAGACACUUGGCUGAGUUUUUUUCUUUAUUGCAAAACAAAAACUUCUCCCUUUGUUCAAUGAAAAUUAAUUCGGCUUUUUGUUGUUCGUUUUAAGCAGUUCCGAUGUGUUCUUGAAAAUCUGGACCAAAGAACAAAGCCAAAGAAAACGAGAUGAAAACCACCGAGUGUUCGAUUACCCAAAGCGAAGCCACAUUGACGUCUUGGCUUAUUGGCCUGUUUCCGUAUGAGAUACUAAAUUCUCACGCACUCAUGUAUAGAAUGUGACAGUUUGCUUUCUCAGCAUGACUUGCCAGGCGGUGCCAUGUCAGCAUGCGGUAUCAGAACCGGGGAACCCCAGGCCACCGAGAAGCAGAACGUGUGAACUUAACUGCUGUGCCACCGGGCCUGCCCCUGUGUGUCACUUUUGUGUGGAAGUCAUAUGAAAGUGGCAGGAGAAGCCACCGGGGGUCUCCCUCCCCCUGUCUGCCGCAGGAUAAAGCAUGUCUACACCGC
rnacentral:lncRNA from 1 species